GUGACAUUAUAUGUUAUAGUAACCCUCAAUGAGGCCUUUCUAUCGUAAAGAUUUUAAUGCAGAAAGAGGAGGGGGUGGAAUCUCCCAACAUCACUUUAAUCUAGUGGCAAUGAGAAAGGUGUGAUUUGAUUCAACUAGUGUGCUGCCCAGAAGCCACGGCGGAUGCCGUUUUGGCAUGUAAAUCAUCUACAGAGGAGACAGACUGGCUGGUAACUACAAAUAGGGGCAGAUGAUAAAACCUUUGGGCUCCAUCCACAACUCUACGACUCAUUCACUGGCAGUGUCACAGGAAGGAAGGAUUUGGCCCACGCCACAUCAAAAUAAUGGGGUACGUGGGUAAGCGGCUCCCUGUGCAGGUGGGGAGAAGCCGCUGGAGCUGGAAGCCAGCACGAUGGAAAACUACAAGGAGGGAAACGGGGGGGUUGCAAAAAGGAGCCUGGUGGGCAUGCAAGCGGAGAGAAGAGAGAAAAACUGUGAUGAGAUCAAGCUGCUCUGGAGAUGGAUCCAAGCUUUGAAGGUACCAGCUGUAGUACCCUUGCUUCAUCUACCACAAAAGCUACCAAGUCUGCAGAAAAGGAAGCUGACCGCCACAGAAUAUGACAAGAGGUGAUCUCAUCUCGUCAUCAGAGCAGUUCACACUUGAGAAUUAGCUUCUUCAGAACUACGCAUCUCUAAAAGAAAACCUUUCACAGAUGGACACUAACCAGGCAUUUCUGCCUAGGCACCUGAACACAAGCUGAAGGUGCUGAUCUGCAGAAUAUACUGCUCCUGUGUAUGCUUUGUAUGUUUUAAGGACAUACCAUGUAUUCUGAAGAAAAAGAAAAGAGUAAAACAAGUUCUGGAUGAGGAGGCACAGGACUUCUUUAACCCUGAAAUGUCAAACCUAAAUAAAAGGUUGUUUCUGUAACAAGCAGGAACUUUGCUUACAAAGAAGUACACACAAAACAAGGAGGAAGGUUAUUGUGUUUUCUCAUGUUAAGCCCCUCAAGUUUCUUGGUAACUUUUGCAGACUGGAUAGCUGCUUUGUGAACAAAUUGCCUUUCUUCCCAUUUGGAAUUUGAACUCUCCGACUUUCUGGAGGAAAUACCCUGAAUCACUCUGAUAUUCUAUGACAAUUUAAAAACAACUGAAGAAAAUACUUGGCACAUCAUAACAUUUGUGAUAUGCCUCAGUUCUGAAAAUACCUAAGCAUAGAAGCCAGACUCUUGAGACAGAGUCUGUGCAAACUGCCUUUUUUUUUUUUUUUUUUUUUUUUUACUACCUCUGCAGCAAUUUGAGAAUU